rnacentral:rRNA from 1 species
AUUGAACGCUGGCGGCAGGCCUAACACAUGCAAGUCGAGCGGGGUUUUCGGACCUAGCGGCGGACGGGUGAGUAAUGCGUAGGAAGCUACCCGAUAGAGGGGGAUACCAGUUGGAAACGACUGUUAAUACCGCAUAAUGUCUACGGACCAAAGUGUGGGACCUUCGGGCCACAUGCUAUCGGAUGCGCCUACGUGGGAUUAGCUAGUUGGUGGGGUAAUGGCUCACCAAGGCGACGAUCCCUAGCUGGUUUGAGAGGAUGAUCAGCCACACUGGAACUGAGACACGGUCCAGACUCCUACGGGAGGCAGCAGUGGGGAAUAUUGGACAAUAGGUGCAAGCCUGAUCCAGCCAUGCCGCGUGUGUGAAGAAGGCCUUCGGGUUGUAAAGCACUUUCAGUAGGGAGGAAGCGUUGUGUGUUAAUAGUACACAGCGUUGACGUUACCUACAGAAGAAGCACCGGCUAACUCUGUGCCAGCAGCCGCGGUAACAC